AUUGAACGCUGGCGGCAUGCCUUACACAUGCAAGUCGAACGGCAGCACGGGGGCAACCCUGGUGGCGAGUGGCGAACGGGUGAGUAACAUAUCGGAACAUACCCUAGAGUGGGGGAUAACGUAGCGAAAGUUACGCUAAUACCGCAUACGAUCUAAGGAUGAAAGUGGGGGAUCUUCGGACCUCAUGCUCAUGGAGUGGCCGAUAUCUGAUUAGCUAGUUGGUGAGGUAAAGGCUCACCAAGGCGACGAUCAGUAGCUGGUUUGAGAGAACGACCAGCCACACUGGAACUGAGACACGGUCCAGACUCCUACGGGAGGCAGCAGUGGGGAAUUUUGGACAAUGGGGGCAACCCUGAUCCAGCAAUGCCGCGUGAGUGAAGAAGGCCUUCGGUUGGUAAGUACGUCUUUUCGUUCUACGGG
rnacentral:rRNA from 1 species